GACGAACGCUGGCGGCGUGCUUAACACAUGCAAGUCGAACGGAAAGGCCCUGCUUUUGUGGGGUGCUCGAGUGGCGAACGGGUGAGUAACACGUGAGUAACCUGCCCUUGACUUUGGGAUAACUUCAGGAAACUGGGGCUAAUACCGGAUAGGAGCUCCUGCUGCAUGGUGGGGGUUGGAAAGUUUCGGCGGUUGGGGAUGGACUCGCGGCUUAUCAGCUUGUUGGUGGGGUAGUGGCUUACCAAGGCUUUGACGGGUAGCCGGCCUGAGCGGGUGACCGGCCACAUUGGGACUGAGAUACGGCCCAGACUCCUACGGGAGGCAGCAGUGGGGAAGAUUGCACAAUGGGCGGAAGCCUGAUGCAGCAACGCCGCGUGCGGGAUGACGGCCUUCGGGUUGUAAACCGCUUUCGCCUGUGACGAAGCGUGAGUGACGGUAAUGGGUAAAGAAGCACCGGCUAACUACGUG
rnacentral:rRNA from 1 species